rnacentral:tRNA from 1 species
GGAGCAGUGGCCGAGCGGCUGAAGGCGACGGUUUUGAAAACCGUUGUACCGAAAGGUACCGGGGGUUCGAAUCCCUCCUGCUCCG